rnacentral:lncRNA from 1 species
GGUGGGGUCCACCUUAAAGAAACGCUAAUGCCACGUGUCUUACCCUACAAUUGGGUCCAUCAUGUUUUUGCCAAAAUUUGGCCCAAUAUUACAAAACUUGGUUUAAAAAGCCUAAUCUACUAAAUUAAAAUUUGACUAAUUCUAAAGUGUCUUUGUGGAGAGUCUUGAAUAAAUUGAUGUCUUCCCUAAUGUCCAAAAUUGUAUCUCCAA